AGCCGUGUGGUGAGCGCAGAGCGAACCAUUCUUUCGCCUUUUACUAAAGAAUACCGUGUGCUCGUCGCAUUCAACGGCAUACGCUUAUUUUUGAAAGGCUUUCUCAGUGCUGAGAAG
rnacentral:snRNA from 1 species